UUUCCGUAGGUGAACCUGCGGAAGGAUCAUUAUUGAAUGAACUUGGUGUGGUUGUUGCUGGCCCUUUCGGGGGUAUGUGCACACCCGCCAUCCUCGUCUCUCCACCUGUGCACCUCUUGUAGACUUGGAUUGACUUUCCGAGGCAACUCGGUCGGGAGGAUUGCUGGCACUAGCUGGCUUUCUUUGCAUUUCCAGGUCUAUGUUUUUCAUAUACCCCAUUGUAUGUAACAGAAUGUAAUAUUGGGCCCUUGUGCCUAUAAACCUUAUACAACUUUCAGCAACGGAUCUCUUGGCUCUC
rnacentral:misc_RNA from 1 species